GAUAGAGGGGCAGAUUGAUGUAGACCACGUCGUCUGUUGUGACUCCACACGCCGUCUGGAGGAAGGAGGAGGCCCAGACCCUCUCAUGGGUGACGACGGCUGCUUUAGGCAAACCUACCACGGUUACACCCGGUGGGAGUGGCCAGGAGCACCUGCAGCUACCUCACAUUCAGUAGAGAUGGUUAAAAGCCAAACCAACCUGAUCCUCGUGGCCAGAUCAACGGCUCAUACGCUGUGCUGGUUUCUCAUGUUCUGCUAAAAGCCAGCAGUGUGGUGUUUUGAUUUUGGAGCGGCUUUGUGUUAAUAAGCUCACCUUGUGUUGAAUUUAGAAUCAUUUUCUUUGCUAUUUUUUGUAAAUAACUAAUAUUUUUUUCCAAAUGAUCAGUUUUCUUGCCUCUUUACCCGGUUCUUUCUUUACACUCGUUACUCCCCUCAUCCCCUAGUUUUCGGGGACAUAACAGUGGGAUUUUAAGCUGGUGUAAAUUAAAUAAAUUAUGCAUCAGAAAAUAGAUGCUUAAAACUCAGAUUCUGAGCUACAGUGAACUGUGGAGUUUUACUGUGAAAGUGAUUUUCACCAUGUUUGUGUUGCUGCUUAGUAAAAACUAGGCUGUAUUAGCAUCAGUGGUUCUGCUUGAUUGUGGGUGACUACUACUACUACUAGCAUCACUACUACUACUGUUAGCAUCACUACUACUACUACUGUUAGCUUCACUACUACUACUACUGUUAGCAUCACUACUACUACUACCACUGUUAGCAUCACUACUACUGUUAGCAUCACUACUACUACUACUGUUAGCAUCACUACUACUACUACCACUGUUAGCAUCACUACUACUGUUAGCAUCACUACUACUACUACUGUUAGCAUCACUACUACUACUACUACUGUUAGCAUCACUACUACUACUACUACUGUUAGCAUCACUACUACUACUACUACUGUUAGCUUCACUACUACUAGUACUGUUAGCAUCACUACUACUACUACUACUGUUAGCAUCACUACUACUACUACUACUACUACUACUACUACUACUACUACUACUACUACUAGCAUCACUACUACUACUACUGUUACGGUUACUACUACUACUACAAAAGCAUCUUGCCCAAAUCUACAGAGGAGCUCUAUCUUAGUGUUUAAAUUUCCUAAAAAUUCUGAAAUGAACAAGAAGCGGACUAAUUUUUAACGCUGGCUAUAACUCCAUCUUUUGCUUGUUUCCAAAGAGACUCCAGACGUCUGUACUAUGAAGCAAUAUUUGGGGUUGUCCUGGAGCUUCAGGUUUGACUUGUUUAACUGUGGUUACUGUGUCACCAUGCAGAACUCUUUUCUUUGUCUGAUGAGCAUAAAUAUGUAGGAAACGGUAGUUUUAUUUGCUUGAUAUUUUUUUCUGUUGACUCCAAGUAAUUUUAUUAUUCUAAUAAGACUUUGCAGAAAGCCUACUUAUCUUGUAUUUAUUUUUUGUUCUUUACUUGCUUUACACUGCCAGGGUUGCAGCUGAAAGAAUACGGCUAAAAAUGUCUUUCAUAACCUAAAAACCAGCUACAUCCGAGCAUUACAUUAAAUGUUUUAAAGCUACACAACUGUAAAUACAUUCAGACCUACACAUGCCUCAAUGAUGGGGCAGGGAUACUGAUAAGUCUAUAACUUGUGCAGUCACACAGUUGUGUUUUUUUUUAGCAGCUUUCUUUUCUGCUUUGGCUGUAGCAGCUGUGUGGGUUUAGCCUGCGUUAUACUUUUAAACUCCUUGUAUUUGUUUAAGAUUAAAGUUUGCUCUCUUUUGUGAGAAUGUGUGACUCUAGAUAAUGUCUGAGGUGAACACUGCACCUUUUCUGUAAAUGGGUCAAUAUAUAAUUGUGGGACUUUUUGUAACAUAGUUGAUAUUUUUGCUGUUUUCAGGCCUAAAAAUCAACAAGGCGACCUAUAACCAAACACCACAUGGCAUUUUUAGAGAAAGAUUCUUCUAAAACAUUCUAUAUACAAUUGAGUAUAAUUGAAUGUUGUUUACAAAGAUAUUGUAGUAAACCUGUUGACAUGCAAUAAAUCCACGCUUGACUCACACACUACUUUCUAUUAAAUAACUCAGAAAGCCUUGGAGUCUUGCCAGUCUUUUCUUCAGGAGGAAAUGACAUCAUGUGGAGCAGGUCAUUUGAUCUGGAAAAAACACACUUCCUCCAGAGGUGUUUUUGUAAUGAGUAAUUUAGUUGAAAAUGAUUUCUUGGCUACAGAUACAAUGUGCUAUUUUCCAUAUAAAAUUUGAUAUAUUGCCAAAAAAGAAAUAUCUGUCAUGAUGAUCUCAACUUAAUAAAAAGAACACAAUCAAAACUA